ACAGAGGGGGCAAGCGUUAUUCGGAAUUAUUGGGCGUAAAGGGCGCGUAGGCGGCUUUGCAAGUGACGGGUGAAAGCCCUCGGCUUAACCGAGGAACUGCCUGUCAGACUGUGAGGCUUGAGACCAGGAGAGGUGAGUGGAAUUCCCAGUGUAGCGGUGAAAUGCGUAGAUAUCUGGAGGAACACCGGUGGCGAAGGCGGCAUCCUGGACCGAGAUUGACGCUGAUGCGCGAAAGCCAGGGGAGCAAACGGGA
rnacentral:rRNA from 1 species